GGACGCUUAGCUCAGGCGGUAGAGCAACGGUCUGAUAUGCCGUAGGUCGGAGGUUCAAAUCCUCCAACGUCCACCA
rnacentral:tRNA from 1 species